rfam:Parcubacteria group bacterium RIFCSPLOWO2_02_FTLL_40_12 rifcsplowo2_02_scaffold_47816, whole genome shotgun sequence.
GCGCAGCCCUGAAAUCUUUGGGGCCAUUCGUCGCAAGAUGAAUUGAGAAAAACUGGGUGAAUUCGGGGAACAUCGGUCAUUUUACAAAGUUCAGAGUAAAUGCCCGCCAAUCCCGAACCAAGCCUCGCAGGGUUCCGCCAAUCGACGGAAGUUGCAAGGAAGGCGUAGAGACUAACAGGUGAGUCCCAACAAUAAUCCUGUAAAAGCGCCCAGCCCCUAAAUCGGGUUUCCCGAUCGGGUGAUGAGAUAGUCCAAAUAGCCUCGGAAGAGGCUG